rnacentral:rRNA from 1 species
AUUGAACGCUGGCGGCAGGCUUAACACAUGCAAGUCGAGCGGAGAUGAGGUGCUUGCACCUUAUCUUAGCGGCGGACGGGUGAGCAAUGCUUAGGAAUCUGCUUAUUAGUGGGGGACAACAUUCCGAAAGGAAUGCUAAUACCGCAUACGUCCUACGGGAGAAAGCAGAGGAUCUUCGGACCUUGCGCUAAUAGAUGAGCCUAAGUCGGAUUAGCUAGUUGGUGGGGUAAAGGCCUACCAAGGCGACGAUCUGUAGCGGGUCUGAGAGGAUGAUCCGCCACACUGGGACUGAGACACGGCCCAGACUCCUACGGGAGGCAGCAGUGGGGAAUAUUGGACAAUGGGGGGAACCCUGAUCCAGCCAUGCCGCGUGUGUGAAGAAGGCCUUAUUGUUGUAAAGCACUUUAAGCGAGGAGGAGGCUACCUGGAUUAAUACUCUGAGAUAGUGGACGUUACUCGCAAAAUAAGCACCGGCUAACUCUGUGCCAGCCGCCGCGGUAAUAC